UUAACAAAUUAACUUAUGUCCAUUUUAUGCAUCAUCUUCUGUACUUCUUUAAGUGCAUUACUGAGAUAAAAACCACUUCUUAAUGAAGACAUUUUAUCCUCUUGUUUUAAUUGCCAUUAUUUGUUUUUCUUGUACCAUUGCCCUUCUGAACAUCUUGCUUUAUGCACCAAUGUUUUACAUAUAUGCUGCAAGAGUAAAAAGAUCCGGUCUUUCUUGCCUUUUAGAUGAACAGGCUAUUUUUAACAGGAGUCAACCAGCAACUUCCAGAUUGGGGGAAGUAUCCAGACAUCCCACUGUUGUCUCUUGUGGACCUGAGAGACAAGCAUGAGACCUUGCUGAGCUAAGACCAAAAUUUCCAAGAAAGAAAAAGUGAGGAGUCAUAUCUGUCAAAGACAAAACAAUUCCUUGGAAUGUACAAGUUUGUCACAUGCAAUGACAAUGGGGGUUAUUUUCUCCCUCCUCGGAAGUGAACUAUGUGAAGAAUAUAAAACCCUUUCUAGUUUCUUUCAAGACUACCUAAUGUGAUAGAAAGAACAGAUCUGUUAAUUCUAGAUACAGGUAAUUUUGAAUAUCAAGCAAGUAUUUUUUUUACUACAUUGAAUACAUAAGGGAUUUACAUUCAUCUUUGUUUUACUAACCAAUGUCAAGACUUUUCUAGAUUCUAGUCAGUUAUUUAUAAGCAAUAAAACUUCACAUGCAGAUCAACGAUUGCUUCAAACCAGGUUUUUAUAUCAAAUAAGCAAAUUUCUGUCCUCUGCUUCAGAGAAGACACAAUCAAUUCUAGCUUCCUUUAUACACUGCAGUUAUUGCUACUUUUGGCAUAGAUGAUCUGGCUCCAAAUUUGCUAUGAGUAGACCAAUUUUUUUUUUUUUAAUUGCCCCAGUAUAAAAAUAAAACUGCCUUUAUGACAUUCCUGAUGUUGCACUAUCAAAUUGCAUAAGGCCUUCCAUCCUGGGGAAAACAUGAAGAGCAAAAAGAAAGGGGGGGUAAUUAAGCAAUUUUCCAUUCACCCCUUAGCAGAGACCACAAAGUUUUGGAUUUAACUUGUGAGGUGUGGUGUGAGUCAGUCACUAGGUUUUAAGCAAAAGAAUAACACAAAUAAUGUACUAGUAAGGUUUUGUCUGGUAACGUAAAUAGACUUAGCUUUUGCUGUUAUGGCAGUUUAUGUAACAUUUUUCUGCUUUAUAUAAUAUUUCUCUUGCUUGUUUUUAGACAUUAAAAAAACAGAAGUCUGUACAAAACUUUUGGACAAGACUUUAUUUGUCCAAUUUAAAAUUGGUCAUUGCAUUAGUAUUCUCUGAUACUGCAAUAUCUCUACUUCCUAUCAUGUUUUAAAAACAAAGUAGCAAAAGACAUGAAAUGAAGUUAUAUUUCAAUAUACUGUCUGUCCUUUCCCUUUGUUUGCCUCUAAUUAUUUAACAUCUUUUCUUGGAGCUUUGAAAGAAGAAGAGAGACCAUGUUGGGGUCAGGUGUACUCAGCUGGCAUAAAACAAGGCCACAUGGAAGUGAUCAUUUUAUACCAUGUGAGGGUCUGGUAGCAUGGGCUAAUCCUUGGAUUUUGUAUUGCAAACUCUUCCUCAGAACCAUCUGCAACACUACUGAGAUUUAAAAACCAGAACACAGAAAAAAGACCAUUGCUUAAUGGAUAAUGAUCAAGGACAUUCUCAAACUCACUGCACUUAUCUUCCAGACAACUGCUCAAGCAGCUAAAGAACCUCUUCAUUGAACCAUCUUUCACUCCCAAGUGAAAGAUACAAACACUACAGAAGCCAGAGAACUUCUCUAAAGAAAAUCAGCUGAUUUCUCACACAAAUCUAGUGUGAUAUUACUCCUCCAAAUCUUUGCUGGACCUUAGCGAUGAACAAAUAGAAUUAAUUAAGCAGUGACCACACAACAGAACAAAUAAACAAAAGUGAAUAUUCAAAUGGAGUUAACAAAAUCAAGCUUCUUAUCUGUUCAUGUAGACAAAAGCAAUGAUGUUCCACUUAUUGUGAGUGACCUCGCUGUGGUGGAGAUAGCGUUUUGCAGUGCUGCCAGUUUGAAUGUGUACCAGAGUACACUGACACUAAAAGAAAACACAGAUCUCUCUAGAAGACAGAAGACAUAGUGUUUGUAGGAACAAAGCAAAAAUACCAACACUUGCAAGUAGUCACUGCAAAACACAUUCAGUCUGGUGAUCUGUGCACAUCACUGUGACAGCAGCAAUAAAUCACAAGCUCUGCAACUGUUCAGAGGGAAGGUUUCCUGUGAACCUGAAGCCAAAGAUUAAGGUGGAUCACAUGAUAUUGGAUUCACUCCAUUCAAUAGAUAAGUUUCUGGUUAUCUAAUGCAAAAAAAACCUUACAUACCAUCUGUCUUGAACAUUUAUGAAAUGUUACUACUGUGGUAUCUACACCGUGAACAAAACAGAAAUAGGCUGCUCUUGCCUUCCUUUAUUUUCAUACAGUCACAUCUCUCAGCAAGAUGCAUUAUUUUUAAAUGAUCUCUUCUACUGGCAACUUCUGAAAGUAUACCUGUCAACAUUGUAUUGCACCUUUUACCUGGUCAUCUGAUCAAAGCAGCAGCAGUGCUGAAGUUACUCAUAAAUUGUGCUGUGCAUUUGACAUACAGCCAACAACUGGAAGAAGCAAAUUCACCCCUCCCCAGAGUUGAGAAAGUAGCCUUGAGAAGAAAAGAAGAGAUAAAACCCAGUGCACAUAAAGGACCAAAUGGCUCCUGGAACAACUGAUUGAUUGUGUCUUACUAAAGCCAUGGGAGUAGUUGGCACAGUGGAACAUAAAUCUUGAUAGAAGGCAGAACCAGUGGACAAGGAUUCACUGAAUUCUGAAAUUCUUCAGGAUGCAAGCAGAGCAUAUGCCAACAGCACUCACUGAAGAAAUAUUUUUAUGGCAGUUUUAUGAUGCAGUGCUGUUGGGGCUGGACAGUAGCAAAGAAUAUGUUAUUAAUAUUACAGGGGUUCCACACUGAGAUAAGCAGCUUCCUGUCAAAUCAGCCAGUGCUGCUGAACGAAUUGACCUUGACAUGACUGCUGUGAUUCCAAAAGCCACAAGCCAAUGGUGACAAUUGUUACAUAUUGUCACAGCUGAUUCGUAUUGUUGAUGCAUGUCAUAAAAAUACCAGGUGGUAAAGACAUAAAGGAGCGCAGUCCCUUGGUUCAUCAAAAUCUAAUCUCUCAAACCUCAAUAAACAUUUGUGAUCAGACAUAAUCUGAAUAAAAUCUUUCCGUAUGUGUUACUUGUAGUAUUACCUCCCACUUUGCAAAACAUGUUUGCUCUGAAGAUACAUGCAGAAUCAGGGAUGGCACCCUCAAAGCAGGAGUACUGGCAGUGACUUGGGUAUGCCAAGUAGCAGGUGUUUGGAGGAAGCCAGUUAAGGUUUUGUCUCAGUAUUUGCUGGCAAGAAAUGGCUGUUUUUCUUGAUCCUUGAUUUCACUGGCUCAAUUCAUCCUCUCUUGCAGAAUACCAUCCACGAGGAGGUGCAUGAUCCAUGAGAAUUUUCUCUUCUAGAUUCUUCCCACAUACAUUCCAUUAGGAGAGCAGGAUAUUUUUUCUAUUUCCAGUGCCAAUCCAAGUCAUUCAGAUAUGCAGAAAAACAUGAGCAUUCUUUAAGGAGCUCUGUACUCCAAGCACAUCCUAAAACCUUUUUGAGGACUAACCACUUUUCUAAGUAAUCACUGGAAGUAGGAAAAUAGGAGGUAGAUGCAAGCAGCAGAACAGCACACAGUAUUCCAGGCAUGAGAAAAUUGUGGCAUUAUAGACUGGCAUAAUUAUAUUUCCUGUUUUGUUCUUUUUUCCUUUUCUAACAGACAUUUGUAUUUUUGGAUUGGUGCCAUGCACUGAGCUGAUGUUUUUAUGAAAAAGUCUAUCUAUCACAAUCUGAAACUUCUGAGUGGUAACAGGCAACUCAGAGUUCAUCACUUUAUUCCUAAAGCCAAGAACACUAGCCUACAUAUAGAAUUUCACAUUUACCUACACUAAAUUUCCUCUGCCGUCUUAUUAACCAGUUACUUAAUCUUAAGGCCCAUUUACAGUUCUCUGCACAGCUCCCACACAACCUACAUUGAGUAAAUGUAUACCCUCAGCAAAUAUUUCUACUUCACUGCUAAGAUCUUCUUCCAAUCAAUACUUGAGUUUGUUAGGAAAAAUCAAUCCCCCGCAGAAUUCUGCUGGUGAUUUCUCUCUGUGUCGUCCCUGUGCUCAGGUGGUUGAAGCCUUGAUGCUGGGGAAUGUGGCAUUCAGCAUGGCUCUGUAAAGGUGCUGGGGAGCUGCAUGGUCCCUUGUCUGGGAUUUCCUGGGUGAGAAUCAUCAACUCUCUGUGCUGUGCUCUGUCCCUUGCACUGGGAUCUGCACACCAGCAAGAGCUGAUCAACCUGAUCUGUGCCUUCCUCUGUGCCUGGCAUGCUGGGCAGGAGGUGAGGGGAUUAUUUGGCAUUUCCCAGCAGUGGAGGACUGUGUGAUUGCCAUCGAGAUUCUGCAUAACUGAGGUCUUCUGGAAAGGGACUUUUUCUAUAUGCAGUCCAGACUGUUCUUUGUCAUGUGAUUUGACACCCGUGUUACACAUCCCUUUUCAUGUGAUCAGACACACAUAAGAAAGAAUGAGCUUCAGAAGUCUAAGUUCACACAGAAGGUAGGUCACUAAUAGCUUUUGCUUAAGGAAUGUUUUGGGGCAUAGAAGAAGUGUUUUAGAACAAAGGAACGUUUACAGUACACAGCCUUGUGACCCAGUACUCAGGACCCAAUACAGCAGUUCACUAGAGAAACUGUAGAAGAUGAGCAGAAAGUCCAUGGUAAUAUGAUUUGUUUUCAUAAACAUAUGCAAAAAAAGGAAUCAUAUAUUAAUCUGUUGGAUGUGAAUGAGCAUAGCCAGAUAAAUAAAACCUAAAUAUUUGAAUAGCUAUGGCUUUUUUAUUUGGUUUGGAUUUCACGGGCUUGACUUACCACUACAGUGCACUUAAUUUUGCUAUUUGCAUAUGGAACAUGGGUAUGAAGGUUUUCAAAUCAGCAAGGAAUUCCAAAUUCCUGAUGUGUAAAAAUGAUCAUAUCUCUGAAUUUGGGCUCAUACUCGUCACUGGUUUGUGUUUGGGUGCCAUUUAUUCCUCUCAGGGGAACACAGUCUCUGAAUUUUGUUUGCCACAUUCAAUGAAGGAAAGAAAGUAUUUGCCACUAUGACUUUGAAAUAUCAAAGUUCCAUUUGUAUGGGCUGAUAAGGAAGCUCAUUAUUGAUGCCAGCGAAUCAAACCAAAGAAAUGCUUCUAAACAUCCUAUGCGUAUCCUCUGCAUCUGUCUGUGUGUAUUGUGUCUAGGAAAAGUGGGCAAACAAGUCAUUAUGCUAUUGUUGCAAUCCUAAAUGAUCAUUCACAGUUACGAUUUCGAACAGGCAGCCAAGGAAUUGUACUGUGGUGCAGUACCACCUAGUGGCCCCAUUGAACAGGGCUUUAUUGGAGACAAAUACUGGUGUUCAGUAUUAACUGCCAAAUGCUGCAUUUGUUGAUGCUUUUUAUUAUUGUUAUUGUUAUUAAGUUUCUGAAGGAACACAAAACACAUGCAAAAAAUGAUACAAACAGUCUAAUACCUAAAUUGGUAAUGAUGUUUAGACCCGUCAGAUGCCAAUAUAUGGCUGUCCAAAUAAAUCAUAAAAAUCUGGUGCUGUGGCUUAGCUCUGCACUUCUUUCUGAAUAAAUGCUGUUAACAUGAUUUUACACAUUAUUUUUAAUGAUUUAAAGCAAGGCAGAGACUGUCACCUUUAAAAUAGAAUUUAUAAUUAGCAGUGAAGUUUUGCCACACGUAAGCUUUUAUUCCCUGUGCAAAAUGUUAAUUUUCAAAUGACGGAUUACAGAAUAUUCUGAGUUGAAAGGGACCCACAAGGACCAUCAAGUCCAACUCUCAAGUGACUUAAGGCAGUCACAUAAGGGGAUUGAAUCCACAACCUUGGUUGGUUAUCAGCACCCUAUUCUAACCAACUGAGCUAAUGUUGAAACUCUGCUUAUCUAAGAGCUGUAAAACACAAUUCCAAUAGAUUCAGAAAGGUAUAUUCUACAAUGGAACUCAGUCAUUCUGAAACUAUUAAAAAAGUGGGAAAUUCAUAAAGCAGACUUCAAACAUGAAUUAAUUACAUGCACUAUAAAGCAUAUAUCACACAAUCAUAAUGCAUUUACAUGAAAAUGGAAAAGUGAGUACAAAAAUCUCUUGUUCACAGUGUGAAAAUAAAUGACUUGUUCUAUAACAACUACAAAAGUAGUAUCUGAUUUUCACAGUUUGGAUAUUACUUAUUCUGAUAAUUUAUUUGACAACCUUUGUAGCACAAUCUCUUCUUAAUACAUGGGAAAGAAACAUUUAUAUGUACUAUUUGUGCUACUGAGCAUUUUAGUUCUCAGUCAACAGGAAAAUAAAAACUGUUGUUGGAGGAGAAAACAGAAAGUGCAAGAAAAAGAAUUAAUUAUUUUCUUUAUGUUAUCUGAUAAUUUUCAUAGGACCAGCACCAACUGUCCAAUGAGACUUGAGA